rnacentral:rRNA from 1 species
GACGAACGCUGGCGGCGUGCCUAAUACAUGCAAGUCGAACGAAGCUGUUUUAACUGGUGCUUGCACCGACUUAAACAACUGAGUGGCGAACGGGUGAGUAACACGUGGGUAACCUGCCCCAAAGCGGGGGAUAACAUUUGGAAACAGAUGCUAAUACCGAAUAAAACUCAGUGUCGCAUGACACAAAGUUAAAAGGCGCUUUGGCGUCACCUAAAGAUGGAUCCGCGGUGCAUUAGUUAGUUGGUGGGGUAAAGGCCUACCAAGACAAUGAUGCAUAGCCGAGUUGAGAGACUGAUCGGCCACAUUGGGACUGAGACACGGCCCAAACUCCUACGGGAGGCUGCAGUAGGGAAUCUUCCACAAUGGGCGAAAGCCUGAUGGAGCAACGCCGCGUGUGUGAUGAAGGCUUUCGGGUCGUAAAGCACUGUUGUAUGGGAAGAACAGCUAGAAUAGGGAAUGAUUUUAGUUUGACGGUACCACACCAGAAAGGGACGGCUAAAUACGUGCCAGCCGCCGCUGUAA